rnacentral:misc_RNA from 1 species
AACGCACAUUGCGCCCGCCGGUACUCCGGCGGGCAUGCCUGUCCGAGCGUCAUUGACAACCCUCAGGCCCUGGUGCCUGGUGUUGGGGCACUACAGCACGCUGUAGGCCCUGAAAUCCAGUGGCGGGAUCGCUGAAAACCCGGGCGCAGUAACUUUACGCCGUCUAGGGUGCUCCGGCGAACCCCGGCCGUUAAACCCACCAAAUUAUCAUGUUUGGCCUCGGAUCAGGUAGGAUUACCCGCUGAACUUAA